GACGAACGCUGGCGGCGUGCCUAAUACAUGCAAGUAGAACGCUGAAGCGAGGAGCUUGCUCUUCUUGGAUGAGUUGCGAACGGGUGAGUAACGCGUAGGUAACCUGCCUUGUAGCGGGGGAUAACUAUUGGAAACGAUAGCUAAUACCGCAUAACAAUGAAUGACACAUGUCCUUUAUUUGAAAGGGGCAAUUGCUCCACUACAAGAUGGACCUGCGUUGUAUUAGCUAGUAGGUGAGGUAAUGGCUCACCUAGGCGACGAUACAUAGCCGACCUGAGAGGGUGAUCGGCCACACUGGGACUGAGACACGGCCCAGACUCCUACGGGAGGCAGCAGUAGGGAAUCUUCGGCAAUGGGGGCAACCCUGACCGAGCAACGCCGCGUGAGUGAAGAAGGUUGUCGGAUCGUAAAGCUCUGUUGUAAGUCAAGAACGGGUGUGAGAGUGGAAAGUUCACACUGUGACGGUAGCUUACCAGAAAGGGACGGCUAACUACGUG
rnacentral:rRNA from 1 species